UACGUAGGGUGCGAGCGUUGUCCGGAAUUAUUGGGCGUAAAGAGCUCGUAGGCGGUCUGUCGCGUCUGCUGUGAAAACUCAGGGCUUAACCCUGAGCUUGCAGUGGGUACGGGCAGACUAGAGUGCGGUAGGGGAGACUGGAAUUCCUGGUGUAGCGGUGAAAUGCGCAGAUAUCAGGAGGAACACCGGUGGCGAAGGCGGGUCUCUGGGCCGUAACUGACGCU
rnacentral:rRNA from 1 species